GGCAGAUGCUGGAUGAAGUGCUUAUCUGGACGUCCUGGGGAAGAAGAAUCAGCUUUCAAGCUCCUUCAGGCUGCUGACAGAAUUCAGAUCCUGUGGUUGGUGAGCACGGAGGACCCCCUUCCUUGCUAGCUGUCAGGUUUCUCAUCUUUUGAUGAGCAAUCUUGAAACUGGAUUCUGUUUGAACAACUGCACAUAUGCUUUAAAGGGGAAGACGUGCUGACCCUUCUGGUGGCACAUUUCAGGGUGCAGAGGAUUGCUGUGGUGCUCGCUUUGAUGGAUGGUUUGCAAAAAUGGCUGCAAUUAUUCAGCUCCCUCUGCAGUGGUGGAGUCUGUGUCCACUCCGCUUGACUCUCAGCUGAUCCUGUGGCCUGCUUAGACCACGAGACUGCAAAAGAAGUGAUUGUCUGUGCUGAGCCCUCAUCUCUAGAGACAAUGCAUGCUUCCACCUGCCCCUUUCAAACUCUGCUGAGCCACCCUGUGAACAGCCCAGGCUCCUCAUCCAGCCCAAUCCAGAGGCAGAGCGGAUGGCAGUUGCUUGAGGGAAGGUAUCUGAGAGUCUUGCUCUGUCGCCGUCUGGAGUGCAGUGGUGAGACCCUGGCUCACUGCAACCUCCGCCUCCCGGGUUCAUAUGAUUCUCCUGCCUCAGCCUCCGGAGUAGCUGGGACUACAGUUGCACACCACCACACCCGG